UCCUGGUUAGCUCAAGUGGUAGAGCGACUGCCCCAGAAAAGCAUUGGUCCCGGGUUCGAUCCCCGGACCAGAAU
rnacentral:tRNA from 1 species